rnacentral:lncRNA from 1 species
AUAUUCCUAUUAGUUUUAGAUUACCUAUUAAAUGUUGUAAUCCUAAAGGGAAAGGUUUUACCCUUCCUACUACUAUAAAUAAAGGCACAAUGGGGUGAAAUAAUACACACCCGCAAUUACACAUCUUUCUAUUCUUCUCUCUAUUGCCGCACCCCCUCUCUCUCUAAGGCAUCCAUAAUUGUUCAGUAAAUUAUGCCUAUAACAGGAAAUAUUAUGUUUUAAGUUUGAAUAUUGUAGUAGCAUUAUGAAAAUAUGAAAAAGGAAGAAAGAUAAUGUGUAAGCCUUGGUGAGAAUUUGAAGUAAGCAUGAGAGUAUUAGGAUGUGUUUAGAAGUGUUUUUCAAAUGACUGAAAACAUUUUUAAUGAAAGUGUCUGAUUUUUUUUAACAAACGAUAUUAUCUACACUAAGAGGGAGGGGUGGGCUUUAGCCUCACAAUGGACUAGCAAUAAUGUGAUUUAAAUUCGUCUUUGGUGAGAAUCGAACCUAAGACCUCUAGUUUAACUUUAGUCUAUAAACUUUCAUAUUCGUUUUGUUUUUUAGUUCUCAAAUUUAACAAUGUAUUGCACCAUUGGUCAUUUUCACUAACCUCAUCAUUUUUUUUUUUUUGUUAAAUCUAGAGGUAUAUUAGGAACUUCAACUUAAAACUUAAAAAAAAAAGAAUUAAAAAGAAGCUAAAAAGCAAAUAAAAAUUUAUAAAUUAAUAUCUAAAACUUAAAACAAAAUGAACUUUGAACUAUAAAAGUACAAAAUGAAAAUGGUUGGACUUUAGCAACUUGUAAAUAUUACGCAAUGUGAUUUCAAAGUUGGUAGGAGAUCGAACUGGGGCUAGACUUGAACAACUAACAAAUCACAUAUUGAACUAUGAAAAACAAAUUUCUAUGUAUUCAAUUUUUUUACGAAAAAUAUCUGGUUUUUUCAGGGUUUUUUUUCUUCUCAUUUCUCAAGGACUAAAAAACUAAAUGUGAGUUCAAGGAUUAAAACUAAACUAUGGAUAAAUUCAGCUACCAUUAUUAUAAUUAAACCAUUUGAUAUUGAUGAGAUGGAUUGUGAUCGAUCAAUUGUUACGCACAAUCUACAUCAAAUGAAUUGCUGGAUAGGAUCAAAUUGUGGUCUCCUCUAAACUUUUUCACUAAAAAUGGUUUACUCCAUCAAGGUGUCUUUUUUUUUUUUGGCUUAAAAGAAAAAGACUUCUAUGAAAUGAACUCUCUCAUGUAGCAUGUGUUGGUUAAAUAAAUGCAUUGCUAUGUGGGAUGAAGUUCCUAAUAUGCCCCUAAAUAUAAUGGAAGAAUAGACGGCAACGGUGAAAAAGACCAAUCAUACAACACAUUGUUAAGUUUAAGGACUAAAAACUAAAUGAGAGUUCAAAAACUAAAACUAAACUAGGGAUAAAAUAUAGCGACCAUUGUUAUAAUUAAGCCAUAUAUUGAUGGAAAUGGAUUGAGAUCAAUCGAUCGAUUGUUCCACACAAUCUACGUCAAAUGAAUUGUAGGAUAGGAUCAAAUUGUGGCCUCCUCUAAACUUUUUCACUAAAAAUGGUUUACUCCAUCAAGGUGUGUCUCUUCUUUUUUGGCUUAAAAGAAAAAAACUUCUAUGAAACGAACUCUCUCAUGUGGCGUGUGUUGGUUUAGUAAAUGCAUUGUUAUGUUGGAUGAAGUUCCUAAUAUGUCCCUAAAUAUAAUGGAAAAAUGGACGGCAAUGGUGAAAAAGACCAAUAUACAACACAUUGUUAAGUUUAAGGACUAAAAAACUAAAUGAGAGUUCAAGACUAAAACUAAACUAGGGAUAAAUUCAGCGACCACUGUUAUAAUUAAGCCAUUUAUUGAUGGAAACGGAUUGAGAUUGAUUGAUUGUUCCAACACAAUCUACAUCAAAUGAAUUGCAGGAUAUGAUCAAAAAAAUUGUGGCCUCCUCUAAACUUUUUCACCGAAAAUGGUUUACUCCAUCAAGGUGUGUCCCUUCUUUUUUGGCUUAAAAGAAAAAGACUUCCAUAAAACGAACUAUCUCAUGUGGUGUGUGUUGGUUUAAUAAAUGCAUUGUUAUGUGGGAUGAAGUUCCUAAUAUGCCCCUAAAUAUAAUGGAAAAAUGGACGGCAAUAGUAAAAAAGACCAAUCGUACAACACAAUCUUAAAUUUAAGGACUAAAAACUAAAUAAGAGUUCAAAAACUAAACUAGGAAUAAAAUUCAACGACCAUUGUUAUAAUUAAGUCAUUUAUUGAUUGAUUGUUCCAACACAAUCUACAUCAAAUGAAUUGCAGGAUAUGAUAAAAAAAAUUGUGGCCUCCUCUAAACUUUUUUCACUGAAAAUGGUUUACUCCAUCAUGGUGUGUCUCUUCUUUUUUUGGCUAAAAAGAAAAAGAAUUCUAUGAAACAAACUCACUCUCAUGUGGUGUGUGUUAGUUUAAUAAAUGCAUUGUUAUGUUGGAUGAAGUUCCUAAUAUGCCCCUAAAUAUAAUGGAAAAAUGGACGGCAAUAGUAAAAAAGACCAAUUGUACAACACAUUGUUAAAUUGAUGGACUAAAAACUAAAUAAGAGUUCAAAAACUAAGCUAGGAAUUUAUUACUCGUGAGCACUAAUAGAUUUCACAUUAUUUACGUGAAACACGAAUGCAUUACACACAUUUCAUAUAUUUGUCGUAACUUUUCGUUUUAUCAGGAUAUAUCUUAUCAAAGUGUGAAAUAAAUUUGAUAUAGGUUAAUUUUAGUAAUGGUCUAUAAACUUUACCUCUAGUUUAACUUUAGUCUAUAAACUUUCAUAUUCGUUUUUUUUUUUAGU